rnacentral:tRNA from 1 species
AGCAAAAUGGCUGAAGGUUAGGUGUUAAGUUGUAGCCUUAAUUAUGAAUUUAUUUCUUUUGUUG